rnacentral:rRNA from 1 species
CAUGUCUAAGUAUAAGCAAUUAUACCGCGAAACUGCGAAUGGCUCAUUAAAUCAGUUAUCGUUUAUUUGAUAGUACCUUACUACUUGGAUAACCGUGGUAAUUCUAGAGCUAAUACAUGCUUAAAACCCCGACUCACGGAGGGGUGUAUUUAUUAGAUUAAAAACCAAUGCCCUUCGGGGCUUUUUGGUGAUUCAUAAUAACUUCUCGAAUCGCAUGGCCUUGUGCCGGCGAUGGUUCAUUCAAAUUUCUGCCCUAUCAACUUUCGAUGGCAGGGUCUUGGCCUGCCAUGGUUACAACGGGUAACGGAGGGUUAGGGCUCGACCCCGGAGAAGGAGCCUGAGAAACGGCUACUACAUCCAAGGAAGGCAGCAGGCGCGCAAAUUACCCAAUCCCGAUACGGGGAGGUAGUGACAAUAAAUACUGAUACAGGGCUCUUUUGGGUCUUGUAAUUGGAAUGAGUACAAUUUAAAUCCCUUAACGAGGAACAAU